GAUGAAGAACGCAGCGAAAUGCGAUAAGUAAUGUGAAUUGCAGAAUUCAGUGAAUCAUCGAAUCUUUGAACGCACAUUGCGCCCGCCAGUAUUCUGGCGGGCAUGCCUGUUCGAGCAUCAUUUCAACCAUCAAGCCCCCGGGCUUGUGUUGGGGACCUGCGGCUGCCGCAGGCCCUGAAAAGCAGUGGCGGGCUCGCUGUCACACCGAGCGUAGUAGAUUUUAUCUCGCUCUGGGCGUGCUGCGGGUUCCGGCCGUUAAACCACCCUUUUAACCCAAGGUUGACCUCGGAUCAGGUAGGAAGACCCGCUGAACUUAAGCAUAUCAAUAAGCGGAGGA
rnacentral:misc_RNA from 1 species